rfam:Callipepla squamata strain Texas jcf7180005233486, whole genome shotgun sequence.
CUAGGAGAACCGAAAACAGUUCUAGACUGACCUGCGGUUUUAUAGCACUUUGGCAGUCAACUUCAGCUUGUGUCAGAGCAGACACGACAGGGCUGCCCGGCCCCUGGACGCCACCUACUUGGCCCGGCUGCGGCCCCCCCCCCCCCGCACUCACCCCAUGGCGGAGCGAGGGCAGCGCUGGCACAGGACUG